rnacentral:rRNA from 1 species
UACAUUUAUAAUAUUUUUCAAAUUCUGUUAAUAUAAAAUUUAUAACUAUUAAUUAUGACGAUUGAAUUGUUUUCUUUAUUGAGAUCAUUUGAUAAACCUUUAAAUAUAGGAAGUAAG